AGGGGAUUAGCCAAGCGGUGACGGCAUCGGGUUUUGAACCCGACAUUCCAAGGUUCGAAUCCUUGAUCCCCUGCCA
rnacentral:tRNA from 1 species